rnacentral:miRNA from 1 species
UGAAAGACUAUUCGGGCUGGGA